AUUGAACGCUGGCGGCAUGCUUUACACAUGCAAGUCGAACGGUAACAGGCCUUCGGGUGCUGACGAGUGGCGAACGGGUGAGUAAUGCAUCGGGACGUACCCAGAGGUGGGGGAUAACGCAGCGAAAGCUGUGCUAAUACCGCAUGUGAUCUGAGGAUGAAAGCGGGGGACCGAGCAGCAAUGUUUGGCCUCGCGCCUUUGGAGCGGCCGAUGUCGGAUUAGCUAGUUGGUGGGGUAAAGGCCUACCAAGGCGACGAUCCGUAGCUGGUCUGAGAGGACGACCAGCCACACUGGGACUGAGACACGGCCCAGACUCCUACGGGAGGCAGCAGUGGGGAAUUUUGGACAAUGGGCGCAAGCCUGAUCCAGCAAUGCCGCGUGAGGGAAGAAGGCCUUCGGGUUGUAAACCGCUUUUGGCAGGAACGAAACGGUGUCCGCUAAUACCGGGCGCUAAUGACGGUACCUGCAGAAUAAGCACCGGCUAACUACGUG
rnacentral:rRNA from 1 species